CGGUAAUUCCAGCUCCAAUAGCGCAUACUAAAGUUGUUGCAGUUAAAAAGCUCGUAGUUGGAUUUCUGCGGGGACGGAGCGGCCGGUCGCAACUUGCGACUCGAGCUAGCGCUUUCCCCGCAUCCUGCCGCGAACCGUGCUACCAUUAGCUUGGUGGCGCUGGGGAUCGGCUCGAUUACUUUGAGAAAAAUAGAGUGUUCAAAGCAGGCCACACGCCUUGAAUAAGUUAGCAUGGAAUAAUGACUAAGGACUUCGGUUCUAUUUUGUUGGUGUUCGGGACUGAAGUAAUGAUUGAUAGGGACAGUUGGGGCGGUCUGUAUUCCAAAGCGAGAGGUGAAAUUCUUAGACCUUCGGAAGACAAACAGCUGCGAAAGCGUUCCGCAAGGAUGUUCCCUUUGAUCAAGAACGAAAGUUGGGGGAUCGAAGACGAUCAGAUACCGUCGUAGUCUCGACUAUAAACUAUACCAGCUAGGGAUCGGUCAACGUUUAAUCAUUCGACUUGAUCGGCACCUUAUGAGAAAUCAAAGCAUCUGGGUUCCGGGGGGAGUAUGGUCGCAAGGCUGAAACUUAAAGGAAUUGACGGAAGGGCACCACCAGCCGUGGAGCCUGUGGCUUAAUUUGACUCAACACGGGAAAACUUACCAGGUCCAGACAUAGUAAGGAUUGACAGAUUGAUAGCUCUUUCUUGAUUCUGUGGGUGGUGGUGCAUGGCCGUUCUUAGUUGGUGGAGUGAUUUGUCUGGUUAAUUCCGUUAACGAACGAGACCCCAGCCUGCUAAAUAGCGCGGCUGAGCUUUGCUCGGUGCGAGCUUCUUAGAGGGACUAUGAUGCGCGAUAGCACAUGGAAGUUUGGGGCAAUAACAGGUCUGUGAUGCCCUUAGAUGUUCUGGGCCGCACACGGGCUACACUGGCGCCUGCAACGAGCAUAUCAGCUGGCCCGAGAGGGUCUUGGCUAAUCUUUUGAACCGGCGCCGUGCUUGGGAUUGACCAUUGCAAUUGUUGGUCAUGCAACGAGGAAUGCCUUGUAAACGCGAGUCAUCAGCUCGCAUUGAAUACGUCCCUGCCCUUUGUACACACCGCCCGUCGCUCCUACCGAUGAAUGUUCCGAUGAAAUUUUCGGAGAGCGCCAGAGAACGGGGCUCUGCCUUGCAGAUCUGGAGGCUCAAAGUCACUUAAAUCUGAACAUUUCGAGGAAGGAGAAGUCGUAACAAGGUAGCCG
rnacentral:rRNA from 1 species